rnacentral:rRNA from 1 species
AGAGUUUGAUCCUGGCUCAGGAUGAACGCUAGCUACAGGCUUAACACAUGCAAGUCGAGGGGCAGCAUGUUGGUUGCUUGCAACCAACGAUGGCGACCGGCGCACGGGUGAGUAACGCGUAUCCAACCUACCCUUGUCCAUCGGAUAACCCGUCGAAAGGCGGCCUAACACGAUAUGCGGUUCACAGCAGGCAUCUAACGUGAACGAAAUGUGAAGGAGAAGGAUGGGGAUGCGUCUGAUUAGCUUGGUUGGCGGGUAACGGCCACCAAGGCUACGAUCAGUAGGGGUUCUGAGAGGAAGGUCCCCCANAUUGGAACUGAGACACGGUCCAAAACUCCUACGGGAGGCA